UACAGAGGGGGCAAGCGUUAUCCGGAAUUAUUGGGCGUAAAGAGCUCGUAGGCGGCUCGUCGCGUCGACCGUGAAAACCCGCGGCUUAACUGCGGGCUUGCGGUUGAUACGGGCGGGCUAGAGUUCGGUAGGGGAGACUGGAAUUCCUGGUGUAGCGGUAAAAUGCGCAGAUAUCAGGAGGAACACCGGUGGCGAAGGCGGGUCUCUGGGCCGAUACUGACGCUGAGGAGCGAAAGCGCGGGGAGCGAACAGG
rnacentral:rRNA from 1 species